rnacentral:rRNA from 1 species
UUCCGGUUGAUCCUGCCGGACCCUACUGCUAUCGGGGUGGGACUAAGACAUGCGAGUUGAGCGUCUCUAAGCUAUGGUAGAGACGCGGCGUACGGCUCAGUAACACGUGGCUAACCUACCCUUAGGACGGGGACAACCCCGGGAAACUGGGGCUAAUACCCGAUAGGCGAGGAGGCCUGGAAUGGUUCUUAGUCGAAAAGGCGUUGAAACCAUGCUUUUCGACGUUGCCUAAGGAUGGGGCCGCGCCCGAUCAGGUUGUUGGUGGGGUAACGGCUCACCAAGCCUAUAACCGGUACGGGCCGUGAGAGCGGGAGCCCGGAGAUGGGCACUGAGACAAGGGCCCAGGCCCUACGGGGCGCAGCAGUCGCGAAAACUCCGCAAUGCGCGAAAGCGUGACGGGGCUACCCCGAGUGCCGUCCGCUGAGGAUGGCUUUUCCCCGGUGUAAUGAGCCGGGGGAAUAAGGAGAGGGCAAGUCUGGUGUCAGCCGCCGCGGUAAUACCAGCUCUCCGAGUGGUAGGGAUGAUUAUUGGGCUUAAAGCGUCCGUAGCCGGCUUAGCAAGUCUCCUGUUAAAUUCAGCGACCUAAUCGUUGGGCCGCGGGAGAUACUACUAGGCUAGGAGGCGGGAGAGGCCGACGGUAUUCUCGGGGUAGGGGUGAAAUCCUAUAAUCCCGGGAGGACCACCAGUGGCGAAGGCUGUCGGCUAGAACGCGCUCGACGGUGAGGGACGAAAGCUGGGGGAGCGAACCGGAUUAGAUACCCGGGUAGUCCCAGCUGUAAACGAUGCGGGCUAGGUGUUGGGGUGGCUACGAGCCACUUCAGUGCCGCAGGGAAGCCAUUAAGCCCGCCGCCUGGGGAGUACGGCCGCAAGGCUGAAACUUAAAGGAAUUGGCGGGGGAGCACCACAAGGCGUGAAGCUUGCGGUUCAAUUGGAUUCAACGCCGGA